rnacentral:ncRNA from 2 species
UAUGUUUCAAGCUGUCGAGGUUCUCCGCACCGUUUGCACGGCACGGAGCUAAGACGGGAAGCCGGUGCAAAACCGGCGCUGCCCCCGCAACUGUAAGCGGUGAGCGGCGGUCGAUACGUGUCACUGGUCCGGCAAGGGACCGGGAAGGCCAGACCGCUGCGUCGAUCCGUGAGCCAGGAGACCUGCCUCGUCAGAUACGUCCUC